rnacentral:tRNA from 1 species
AAUUAAUGAGCUUGAAUAAGUAUAUGUUUUGAAAACAUAAGAUAGAAUAAAAAUAUUCUAUUAAUUU